CUUCUUUAAUUCAUUUUUCGGUGCCAGCUCUUGGUUGGUCGAUCGCCGGCGAAGUUCUCUUCUAAUCUGUGGAGUGCGAGUGACCCAUAAGCCAUGAUUCGAGCAGUCAUAGUGUUGAACACACAGGGAAAACCCCGCCUGCUUAGAUUCUAUGAGUUCCAGCCGCCAGAGAAGCAGAAGGAGUUGAUUCGCAGCAUUUAUGGAGUUCUGAGCAGCAGAGCAGAUAAUGUAAGCAACUUUGUCAAGACGGAUGCAAUUUUUGGUCAAGUAUGAUCCUAAUCUUACCUCAUAUUUGUUCCAUUUACA